rnacentral:rRNA from 1 species
UACGUAGGGGGCAAGCGUUGUCCGGAAUCAUUGGGCGUAAAGCGCGUGUAGGCGGCUCGAUAAGUCUGCUGUGAAAGUCCAGGCUCAACCCUGGGAUGCCGGUGGAUACUGUCGAGCUCGAGUCCGGAAGAGGCGAGUGGAAUUCCUGGUGUAGCGGUGAAAUGCGCAGAUAUCAGGAGGAACACCAAUGGCGAAGGCAGCUCGCUGGGACGUGACUGACGCUGAGACGCGAAAGCGUGGGGGAGCAAACAGG